rnacentral:tRNA from 1 species
GACUGGUUUAGCUCACUGGUAGAGCGGGUGUGCUGGACACACGGGUGACUGGGUUCGAUUCCCAGACCAGUCU